rnacentral:lncRNA from 1 species
CAGACGUUUGCUGACUCGAAAGAUCGGGCCAAGCCCCGUGCCGGAAACCCAGGAACGCAUCCCCACCUCGAAACUGAGAUGGGAAAGGAGAAACUAGAAUCUUUAAUAUCAGGUGGGAUGAGGCGUCCUGUCUCCACAGAAGCCGCUCCUCUCCAGAGAAAGACGAACAGAUGAGAAUAUUCCUCUGGGCUGAAGCAGCACCAUGCCCGGGAGGAAAGCUCUAACCAGCCCCUUGUGAUCUGGCUGCCGCCAGGGCCAGCUGUGAGGACAGGGGGUCUCCGCCGCAGGGAAAGGAAGCGGGGUCUCUAGUCCCAGGUGGAGGUGGAGGUGGAUGCAGUGGGCUCCCUCCCUGGUGACUGCACGGCCGUCUCUUCCCUUGCUUCUACUUCGUGCCCUGGCCUCAGGCUCAGCGUGAGUGCAGGCAGAGCCCACUGCCGCGACACCUCCCCUGGGGAAGGGUCAGGCAGGUGUGGCCGCAUGGCACCCACGAGGUGCCAAAUGCCUGUCCUGCGAGGCUCAGCCCCCCUAUGGCUCCCCAGCACCCUCCCCAGCCCUCCCCUGCAAGUUGGCCCACAGCCCUCUCUGCCAUUCACC